rnacentral:tRNA from 1 species
GCCCUUGUGGUGUAGCGGUCAGCACACUCGGCUCGUAUUCGAGAGGUCCGUGGUUCGAGUCCCGCCGAGGGCA